AUCAUACUCCCUCCGUCCGGAAAUACUUGUCCUAGAAAUGGACAUAAUGGAUGUAUCUAUAACUAAAAUAAGUCUAGAUACAUUUAUCUUAGGACAAGUAUUUUCGGACGGAGGGAGUAUGUU
rfam:Hordeum vulgare subsp. vulgare, WGS project CAJW01000000 data, contig: morex_contig_136833